rnacentral:rRNA from 1 species
GACCAGACUCCUACGGGAGGCAGCAGUGAGGAAUAUUGGUCAAUGGGCGGGAGCCUGAGCCAGCCAAGUCGCGUGAGGGAAGACGGUCCUACGGAUUGUAAACCUCUUUUGCCGGGGAGCAACGGGGUCCUUGCGAGGGCCCGAUGAGAGUACCCAGAGAAAAAGCAUCGGCUAAAUCCGUGCCAGCAGCCGCGGUAAUACGGAGGAUGCGAGCGUUCUCCGGAUUUAUUGGGUUUAAAGGGGGCGUAGGCGGGUUGUUAGUUCGGUGGUAAAAUGUCGGGCCUCACCCCCGCCCUGCCGUUGAAACUGGCGGCCUCGAGUGGGCGAGAAGUAUGCGGAAUGCGUGGUGUAGCGGUGAAAUGCAUAGAUAUCACGCAGAACUCCGAUUGCGAAGGCAGCAUACCGGCGCCCGACUGACGCUGAGGCACGAAAGCGUGGGUAUCGAACAGGAUUAGAUACCCGUGUA